rnacentral:rRNA from 1 species
CGGGUGAGUAAUACAUAAGUAACCUGCCCUAGACAGGGGGAUAACUAUUGGAAACGAUAGCUAAGACCGCAUAGGUACGGACACUGCAUGGUGACCGUAUUAAAAGUGCCUCAAAGCACUGGUAGAGGAUGGACUUAUGGCGCAUUAGCUGGUUGGCGGGGUAACGGCCCACCAAGGCGACGACGCGUAGCCGACCUGAGAGGGUGACCGGCCACACUGGGACUGAGACACGGCCCAG